rnacentral:rRNA from 4 species
UACAACUUUCAACAACGGAUCUCUUGGUUCUGGCAUCGAUGAAGAACGCAGCGAAAUGCGAUACGUAGUGUGAAUUGCAGAAUUCAGUGAAUCAUCGAAUCUUUGAACGCACAUUGCGCCCUUUGGUAUUCCAAAGGGCAUGCCUGUUCGAGCGUC